UCAGCAGCUUUACGUUCUCACUCCCUUACUUCACGUUCUCACACUCUUUAAUCUGAAGAAACCCUAGCCACCACCAUAUCCUCCACCCCUCCAAAUCGGUUUUCACCACCUCUACCGUUUCAACUCCCACCACCACGGUUGCUCUUCAGUCACCACCAUAACUCACCUUCAUUCAUUCAUUGCUCGCUCUCACUUUCUCUCCCUCUCUCUGAUGAAACAAACCUCCUAUUCACCUAUUCUCUUCUUAUGAGACAAAUCUCCGGCUUUCUCGUUCUCAUUCAUUGCUCGUGUUUGAAAGAUCCGUGAGCUGAAGGUGUAAAGGGUCCCUUUGUUUCUGACAAGUACCUAAAACAAGUUUGUUCUUUAGGUCAAGUAAACAUUUACAUCACAUUAUUUUCACCUUUUAACACAAAUUGCUGUUGUUGGAAGUUUGACAUAGAUUCAAGGUUUGUAAGGUUAACAUUUUGAGUUCAAGGGUGGUUUAGAGUUGGAUAAUGGAUCAAGGUCAAAGUAGCAUGAAAAGAGUCUUAGAUCAUGGUUUGAAAUUGAAGCUGAUUAAAUCGGCCUUCUACUAAUGGCAGCAGCUGGCUAUGAUCCUCAGGUGGCACCUAAAGUAUGUGAAAAGAUAGAAACAUUAUAUGAAUGUGACAACGAUUCUAUGCUUAGAUGCUUUUUUGAUACCCAUCCAUCAGUAGGAAAAAGAGCCAAGGCAUUGACUCGGCCUAAAAUAAUGAAUGAAGCUCUUGUUUUAUUUAAUGAUGUAGGAAAGUGUGGGGUUGAAUGAUUUCAUUCUAUUGGACUGCACAUUCACCAUGUCCACAAGCUACAAAUGCAUGUAGUUGAAACCUGUCAUAAAUUUCAAUUCUAGUUUAAUUUCAUCUAUAUUUCCAAUUAACUUUUAUGUUUGUUUCAGUUUCUAUAGAAUUCAGCAUGUUAAAUAAACCAUAUCAUCCUAACAUCAUACCUCAACCUCACUUGUCUCAACAUCAUCCUUGGGACCUAUACGUGUUUGUUAUUGUUGAACCUUGAGAAUAUGUUGGAAUAUACUACACCAAGUGCGACUGGGCUAUUAAUUACUGGACUAACAGCUACCAAGGCGCAAAGUCGAUUCAUUGUAACAGCUUGUGAUGAUUCUGUGGUGAAGAUUUGGAAAAUGAACAAGUUCUAGAACUUCUAGUUAAUUUCUUUUAUUUUAGAUAACAUUUCUCUCUAUAUGUGCAACUUGUUAUCUUGUUGCAAGUCACAAAAGUGAACAAAUUUCAAGCUAGUUUUGUUUUACACUUUUACUUUCGGGUACAAUUGAGUAAUGAAUGAACCAUUUUUGUUGGAAAA